CGGAUGAAGGGAGCUUGCUCCUGGAUUCAGCGGCGGACGGGUGAGUAAUGCCUAGGAAUCUGCCUGGUAGUGGGGGAUAACGUCCGGAAACGGGCGCUAAUACCGCAUACGUCCUGAGGGAGAAAGUGGGGGAUCUUCGGACCUCACGCUAUCAGAUGAGCCUAGGUCGGAUUAGCUAGUUGGUGGGGUAAAGGCCUACCAAGGCGACGAUCCGUAACUGGUCUGAGAGGAUGAUCAGUCACACUGGAACUGAGACACGGUCCAGACUCCUACGGGAGGCAGCAGUGGGGAAUAUUGGACAAUGGGCGAAAGCCUGAUCCAGCCAUGCCGCGUGUGUGAAGAAGGUCUUCGGAUUGUAAAGCACUUUAAGUUGGGAGGAAGGGCAGUAAGUUAAUACCUUGCUGUUUUGACGUUACCAACAGAAUAAGCACCGGCUAACUUCGUGCCAGCAGCCGCGGUAAUACGAAGGGUGCAAGCGUUAAUCGGAAUUACUGGGCGUAAAGCGCGCGUAGGUGGUUCAGCAAGUUGGAUGUGAAAUCCCCGGGCUCAACCUGGGAACUGCAUCCAAAACUACUGAGCUAGAGUACGGUAGAGGGUGGUGGGAUUUUCCUGUGUAGCGGUGAAAUGCGUAGAUAUAGGAAGGGAACACCAGUGGCGAAGGC
rnacentral:rRNA from 1 species